GGCUUCUAGUUUCAUUGGCUUCUCUUGUUGCCGAGCACUGGCUCUAGGCUCCCAGGCUUCAGGAGUUGCGGCACGUGGGUGCCGGGACUUAGUUGCGGGUUAGUUGUAUCCGCGGUGUGUGGGAUCUUCCCAGACCAGGGAUGGAACCGGUGGCGUCUGCAUUGGCCAGUGGAUUCUUAACCUCUGGGCCACCAGGGAAGUCCCUACCUUCCUGUUUUGCAGAUGGAGGAAGGAGCUGCAAGCCAAAGAGUGCAGAUGGCUUGUAGAAGCUGCAAAAGAUUAUAGCCUGCCCGGCUUCUCUGUCCAUGGGAUUUCCCAGGAAGAAUACUGGAAUGGUUUGCCGUGCACUCCUCCAGGGGAUCUUCCCAAGCUCAGGCUCCUGAUGAACAGAGACCACUGAAAGAUCAGAAAUCUGCGUUGAGCCAGGUCACAGGGGAGAG
ensembl:lncRNA